rnacentral:misc_RNA from 1 species
UCUUCAGAUGAUGAUCCCAAGCCUUCUGGCGAUCUAGAAAAAACAGGCCUUAACUUUAGGCUUUCAGAAAACACUUUUGUUUUUAUGAGAUUAUGCCGGGGAAGGUUUUCCGGUUUAUCCCGGAGGGCUUGUAGCUCAGUUGGUUAGAGCGCGCGCUUGAUAAGCGUGAGGUCGGAGGUUCAAGUCCUCCCAGGCCCACCAAUUACUCCAUCUAUUUGCUUUAUCCUGUUUUAGGGGCCGUAGCUCAGCUGGGAGAGCACCUGCUUUGCAAGCAGGGGGUCGUCGGUU